GGAGAAGUAGCGAUUUAGGAUUUGAAGUCCAAACCGCUAAACCUGUACUAAUCUAGUUGGGUUUUCAACCCAUUUCUCCUUUCACCUGUCCUAUUCCCAUGUUUUCGAGCCCUUUGGCUCGAGUUUUUUGCUUUACCUAUAUUAAAUACAACUUUGGCUUCGAGGCCCAAAAAUUAAUAUAUGAAUAAGUAAUUAAAUAAAGGGAAUAAAAACAAGACUAAUAAAAGGAGAUAAGCCUCUUCUUUCUUCCUUUAAACUUCUCGAAUUUGGAUGCCACGGGAUCACUUUUGAACUUAGACCUUCGGGCUUGAUCCAAAGAGAUGGGCCUCACUGUUCCCUCAUGAAAUGCAAGAGGCAAGAGUCCAUUUGGACUCCAACAAUUUUCAUGCAAAAUAAGGAAACAUAAAGGACCUUAACAUAUCAUUAACGAAGGAAAAGAGAAAAUAAAUUUAGCACACGGCCAACCAAGGGGAAAGAAAUGAAUUAAAAUUAGUUAAUGCACCAUUUCCGUCAAGGAAAGGACAAAUUAGACAAAACCUAUUGCGGUUUUAACCGAACAUGAUAUGAAUCUUUAAAUAAUCAUAAGCUGAUAUGAAAAAUAGUAAGAUGUAUUCACACUAAUUCAAGUUUACAAACUCAACCAAAAUAGCAAAUCUAAAGCAAUUAAUACAUAUCACUGACUUGAUUGAGUGUAACAGAUUUUUCGCCAUUAGAGUCAAAUCUCCUUUUCGAUAUUUCGUUAUUUGUAAGACUAAGCGGGGUGCAAAUUUUCAAAAUAUUGAUACCAAAUUAUCACAGAGAGAGAAAACUAUAUCCUAGAAACUACACAUCACAUAAAAUUUCUCCUUAGAAACCAAAAGAAAACUCAUGGUGAUUCAACUACAUGAAAACUAUCCACUUGGGGUAUGUGAGGAACCAAUCACUAUUAGACUAGCAUUUUCAGGUACAUGAAGGUUAUCCAACAGUAUGAUGUCAAGAGCAUUUAACAUUAUACCUAAUUGACAUUAAACACUGCAGACGUUCGAACUAUACUCCUAACUAAAUAGAUUGGAGAAGUAAGACACUAGAUAUGAAUAGGAUGUCAACCCAUCCGGAAAGUACAACGUUAUGCUAAAUGAAAUUCCAAGUUACAUCAUACAUAGCACACUUAGAAUGUCCAUUCUGACUUCCAACAACAAUAAAACAUAUUGCCUUAACGAUUUGAGCACACUAAAUUUCAGCAUAUGCUAAUUCCCAACAAACAACCAUAAUGGCAAAGAAAAUCAACAUUUAUAAAAAAAGAAGCUGGAAAGCAUCUAUGGAGGAAAAAUUGAAAGAUUAAAAAUAUACUAGAGAAAUUCUAAGCCUAUUACCGCCAUCCGUCGUUGAGAAUUAAGAAACACAAGAUUAAAUAUGGAAAUUUUUCUCUAAUCUUAUUAGGCUAGUCGCAAUAUCGAGGCGAACCGUUUACAUUGAACAAAGCAACAUGUGAAAUAGAAAUGAAAAUAAUGGAUAAAUAACUAAGUAACGAUAUCGGGGGUUUAAGCAAGAGCUUGCAAACUGAAGGAAGAAAAACAAAGUUAAAAUCGGGGAUCAAACGAUUACAACAACAAUCAACAUAGUGUAGCAAAUCUCUAUAUAUGCAAAAGGAAACUAGAAACGAAAGACAAAAUCUUGCUAGUGUAUGUGUUUGAUUCAUACCAUGGACUCUCAGGUAAACUACCACAUCAGUUUAAGACAGUAUGUUCGACAUGGUCAUAUUAAAAUUACGACUUGAGCACUGCUCCAAGGAAAUGGUACAACAACAGUCACAAAACAACGCCUAAGGCUAUCACAGCCAACUACAGCAGACAGAUCCAACCUUAUUUAAGGUACACAGAUAACUACAUUAUACAAAAAAAAAGGGAUAAAGCAAAGAAAAUAAAGCGGAAAGAGGGACGAGCGUGAGUUUACCUUUUUCGGGGUAGCGAAUGGGACGACGAACUAUCAGCAAACUUAUCGCUACAUGGAAUCUCACGACGUCCACCACCAACAGAGCGUCCCUUUUGAUUUUACCUCUUAGAGAUUUUGCAAACCCCUGAUUCAAACUAAAUAUCUUCAAAUCUUAGCUUUUUCUAAAAAUAUUUUGAAACUCCCUUUGCCUGUAAAACUUCCAACUCGAAAGGGAAAGAAAAGAAGAGAAGAGAACAAAAAACUUCUCAUUUCUUUCAGCUCCACAGCCCUCCUCCGAGCCUCGACCUCCCCAUAAAAAGAAAAAGACCCCCCCAAAAAAAAGACCAAAGAAAGAAACCCAAAAUUUCUCCAAAAGAAACCUAACCUCCUGAAUUUUCCAACCCAAAAUUCCUAGCCCCUGCCAGAAGAGAAAAGAAAGGAAGAAGCCCCCCUUCAAUAGCGACCCUAGGGACCUUUUUUGUAGAAGUCCCAUUAGGGUUUCCCUAGGGAUUUCAAAUAAGGGAAAACUCCAAAUUUCACCCGAAUUCGACUACCCCCAACGGUUAUACCUCUCUUCGUCAUUUUCCUUAAGAAAUCCAAAAUGGAUUAGCCAAUGCAAAACCAUCCUUCCAAGAAACAAUGAAAUUUUUCCACGGGGGUACGAACUCAUACCUCUUUAACCGAGAUUCUAGGGAUUUAAACAUUUAAUGAGACACCUAGGCAUGUUUCUAGAAGGUUUCUUGGCGUCUUCCUCAUACAGGUAUGCAUGGGACGCGCAGAGAAGGUUACAAAUGGGUCGGGUAUGGCCAAGGGUUAAACGAUGGUAUAUUUCCAGGUCUAUGCGGGUUGAAGAUGGGUUAAGGGGUCGUUUAGAGUUGAUUAUCAGGUUUUGCAGAUGGUUUUAUCAUGAUUUGGAUUUGUGUAUUUGCUAUGUUGUAUACUGACUAUUGAAGGCUGCUGGUACAAAAAGUUGAUGUAGAAGAUAAGAAAAUGGUUCUGGUAGGUAGAACUUUGGGCCUGUUGUUGAAUUGAUCUAGCUAGGAAGAAAGAAAACGAGGGUCAGUUAUGGGUCUGGUUGAGAUGGGUAGGGUCAGAU
rnacentral:lncRNA from 1 species